GCCUCUAGCAACAACAAGUAUUAGAGGUAAUGCCUGCCCAGUGACACUGUUAAACGGCCGCGGUAUCCUAACCGUGCAAAGGUAGCGUAAUCACUUGUCUUUUAAAUAAAGACUAGAAUGAAUGGCCAAACGAGGUUCCACCUGUCUCUUACAAACAAUCAGUGAAAUUGGUCUCCCCGUGCAAAAGCGGGGAUAACAUUAUAAGACGAGAAGACCCUGUGGAACUUUAAAUAUAAAUCAACUAUUACACUUACUACCCUAAAGACUUAUAACUUACUAGUUCUGAUCCAUAUUUUUGGUUGGGGUGACCUCGGAGUAAAACAAAACCUCCGAAAAAAAGAACAUACUUUCUUAACCUAGAUUUACAACUCAAAGUGCCAACGGUAAAAUGAUCCAAUACAUUUGAUCAACGAACCAAGCUACCCCAGGGAUAACAGCGCAAUCCCAUCCUAGAGUCCCUAUCGACGAUGGGGUUUACGACCUCGAUGUUGGAUCAGGACAUCCUGAUGGUGCAACCGCUAUCAAGGGUUCGUUUGUUCAACGAUUAACAGUCCCACGUGAU
rnacentral:rRNA from 1 species